GGGGAUGAUUUGGUUUCGACAGCGUGAUACUGGUGGAGUUUCGCUUCUGUUCGGGAGGGCAACGGUUCCCGCACCCACUGUUGCAAACAAUAUCUGCCACUGCAGAUGUACCGGCGGUCUUUAAGAAGGCGUUCGCGAACUUCACGUUUGCGCCCGCAUUCGCACUGGCUGCCUAAGUCCGUUUCAUGCGGACACGUCUCACUCUCGAUUCUCGCUACAGGGAUGAGGCGUAAUCAGCGAGGCAGCGUCGCCGUCUGAUGUCGCGGUGACGCGGUCAACCAGGCAUCAUCCCUCGCACCUUUCUCUGCUCUUCUCUUAGGGCUGCGAGUACGAGAAGUCCAUGACAGCACAAGCAGCUUCGCUACACGUUGGACCCGGGUUCGAUUCCCGGCAUCUCCACCA
rnacentral:tmRNA from 1 species